rnacentral:rRNA from 1 species
AUGAACGCUGGCGGCGUGCUUCACACCUGCAAGUCGAACGAUGAAGCCCAGCUUGCUGGGUGGAUUAGUGGCGAACGGGUGAGUAACACGUGAGUAACCUGCCCUUAACUCUGGGAUAAGCCUGGGAAACUGGGUCUAAUACCGGAUAGGAGCGUCCACCGCAUGGUGGGUGUUGGAAAGAUUUAUCGGUUUUGGAUGGACUCGCGGCCUAUCAGCUUGUUGGUGAGGUAAUGGCUCACCAAGGCGACGACGGGUAGCCGGCCUGAGAGGGUGACCGGCCACACUGGGACUGAGACACGGCCCAGACUCCUACGGGAGGCAGCAGUGGGGAAUAUUGCACAAUGGGCGCAAGCCUGAUGCAGCGACGCCGCGUGAGGGAUGACGGCCUUCGGGUUGUAAACCUCUUUCAGUAGGGAAGAAGCGAAAGUGACGGUACCUGCAGAAGAAGCACCGGCUAACUACGUG